AGAGUUUGAUCAUGGCUCAGGAUGAACGCUAGCUACAGGCUUAACACAUGCAAGUCGAGGGGAAACGACAUCGAAAGCUUGCUUUUGAUGGGCGUCGACCGGCGCACGGGUGAGUAACGCGUAUCCAACCUGCCCACCACUUGGGGAUAACCUUGCGAAAGUAAGACUAAUACCCAAUGACGUCUCUAGAAGACAUCUGAAGGAGAUUAAAGAUUUAUCGGUGAUGGAUGGGGAUGCGUCUGAUUAGCUUGUUGGCGGGGUAACGGCCACCAAGGCGACGAUCAGUAGGGGUUCUGAGAGGAAGUCCCCCANAUUGGAACUGAGACACGGUCCAAAAUCCUACGGGAGGCA
rnacentral:rRNA from 1 species